rnacentral:rRNA from 1 species
CCUACGGGGGGCAGCAGUGAGGAAUAUUGGUCAAUGGGCGUAAGCCUGAACCAGCCAUCCCGCGUGAAGGAAGAAGGCGCUAUGCGUCGUAAACUUCUUUUCCAGAGGAAUAAAAUUUCGUACGUGUACGGAACUGAAGGUACUUUGGGAAUAAGCAUCGGCUAACUCCGUGCCAGCAGCCGCGGUAAUACGGAGGAUGCGGGCUUUAUCCGGAUUUAUGGGGUUUAAGGGGGAUUUAUACGUCUUAAGUGAAAACCUUCAGCUUAACUGGAGAACUGCCAUUGAUACUGUUAGUCUUGAGUACGGUCAAGGUAGGCGGAAUGUGUAAUGUAGCGGUGAAAUGCUUAGAUAUUACACAGAACACCGAUUGCGAAGGCAGCUUACUGGGCCAUUACUGACGCUGAUGCACGAAAGCGUGGGGAGCGAACAGGAUUAGAUACCCGUGUAGUC